AUUUGAUCCUCUUUCAACCUGACAUCCCUUUUAUACCGAUUUGUUUAGAAACCUAACCCAUGGUUCCCAAAUUUCCCAGUAUUUAACACUCCUAUUAUGAAUAAUAUGUGUUAUUUCUUCCAUCUUCCUAGUAUCCUCUACUACCUGCUGCCACUCCAUGCAGCUGGGGGGAGCUGACUCCUUCCAGUGUCUUGGGAUUAUUGACCUAGCCGCGUCCAGCAAAUGUAAGGUAUAAACCCAGCCUGAUCAUCAUGAAUUAAAUCCGGUAAGUAUCUUUUCAGUCUGUUUGCUAUUAUUUUAGCGUAUAUUUUUAAAUCUGUGUUUAUUAGGGAUAUUGGCCUAUAGCUUUCACAGAGCUGGGGAUCUUUCCCCUCUUUUGGGAUAAUAGUAAUGUUAGCUUCUUUUGCCUGUUUAUGAAACCCAUGAGUUCGAUCAAUAGUAUUGUAAUAGGAACACAUCAAGGGUAUUAGUUCUAUUUUAUACAUUUUGUAGUACAAUGCACUGAAACCAUCCGGACCCGGACUCUUUUCCACUGCCAAUGAAUCUAUAGUGUCACUUAUUUCUUGAGGUGUAAAAGGUAAGUCUGUCUUUCACUCUUAAAGAUGGUAAUUGGGCUUCCUCUAUAAAUUUAUCCAUUUCCUCUAAUUUAUCUUUUUGGUCAUACCCUUCCUGUAGUCUAUAUAAUGUUUGAUAGUAUUGCUGAAAUGUUUUGGCAAUAUUAUGUGUAUCAUAAUAAAUCUUUUGGUCCUUACCUUUUAUUGAUGUAAUAUGCGUAGCCCUGUUCAUUUUUUUUCAAUCUUUGGGCAAAAUAUUGAUUACAUUUAUCCCCCAGUUCAUAUCCCUUCUGUUUACUAUUCAUAUAUGCUUUGUAUGAGCCCUGGUCAAGUAUUGCUUUCAGUUGUAUUCUUUUCUUUUCAAGUUGUUCUAAUAUGUCUUCUGUCAUUUUUGUUUUAUGUAUCUGUUCCAAUUUAGAAAUCUCUUUAAUUAAACUGUUAAUUGGUUUCUCUUUUUCCUUAUCAACUGGCCUCUAAGCACACAUAUCUUAGUUUCCCAUAAUGCCGCCAAACUAACAUCUGGUCCUGAAUUCUCUUUGAGUAUUUGUUGUAGCAUAUCCCUGAUUUUAUUCUUUGUGUCUUUUCUGUGUAAUAAUAAAUUGUUGAACCUC